AUACGGGGGGGACAAGUGUUAUGCUAAAUAACUGGGCGUAAAGGGUUCGUAGGUGGGUAAUUAAGUUGAAAAGGAAAUCUCAGGGCUUAACCUUGAAAGUUGUUUCAAUACUGAUUAUCUUGAGUUUGGGAGAGGAUAGUAGAAUUUCUAAUGUAGGAAUAAAAUCCAAAGAUAUUAGAAGGAAUACCAGGAGCGAAGGCGACUAUCUGGAACAAUACUGACACUAAGGAACGAAAGCAUGGGGAGCAAACAGGAUUAGAUACCCUAGUAGUCC
rnacentral:rRNA from 1 species